rnacentral:rRNA from 1 species
AGUGAACGCUGGCGGUAGGCCUAACACAUGCAAGUCGAACGGCAGCACAGUAAGAGCUUGCUCUUACGGGUGGCGAGUGGCGGACGGGUGAGGAAUACAUCGGAAUCUACUUUUUCGUGGGGGAUAACGUAGGGAAACUUACGCUAAUACCGCAUACGACCUACGGGUGAAGGCAGGGGAUCUUCGGACCUUGCGCGAUUGAAUGAGCCGAUGUCGGAUUAGCUAGUUGGCGGGGUAAAGGCCCACCAAGGCGGCGAUCCGUAGCUGGUCUGAGAGGAUGAUCAGCCACACUGGAACUGAGACACGGUCCAGACUCCUACGGGAGGCAGCAGUGGGGAAUAUUGGACAAAGGGCGCAAGCCUGAUCCAGCCAUACCGCGUGGGUGAAGAAGGCCUUCGGGUUGUAAAGCCCUUUUGUUGGGAAAGAAAAGCAGCAGGUUAAUACCCCGCUGUUCUGACGGUACCCAAAGAAUAAGCACCGGCUAACUUCGUG